AGAGUUUGAUCCUGGCUCAGGAUGAACGCUAGCUACAGGCUUAACACAUGCAAGUCGAACGAGAGAUGAGGAGCUUGCUCUUCAAAUCGAGUGGCGAACGGGUGAGUAACGCGUGAGGAACCUGCCUCAAAGAGGGGGGACAACAGUUGGAAACGACUGCUAAUACCGCAUAAGCCCACGGCUCGGCAUCGAGCAGAGGGAAAAGGAGCAAUCCGCUUUGAGAUGGCCUCGCGUCCGAUUAGCUGGUUGGUGAGGUAACGGCCCACCAAGGCGACGAUCGGUAGCCGGACUGAGAGGUUGAACGGCCACAUUGGGACUGAGACACGGCCCAGACUCCUACGGGAGGCAGCA
rnacentral:rRNA from 1 species